GUGAAGAUAGCUGAGAAAAAAAGGGGUGGGUUGGACUGUCAGGGAGAGCCUGGCAGGACCCCUGACUAAGAAGCAGCAACAAGCAGAAGAAGUCUGUGCUGUGAAAAACUGCCCCCAAGAAAUAUCACCGAGAAGGGUGCUGGAAAUCUGCUAGAAACUGAAUCCUGCUGGCUCCAAAGUUACUUUAGAAGCUCAGAGAGCAAACCUGCCCAAGAAUGUUAAUAUUUCUCACCUACAAUCAAGACUAUUUAUGAAAAUAUUUCCAUGGGAUAUAGAAAGAGACUUUUGGAGACUCAAUGGAGGAUGCUGCAU